rnacentral:misc_RNA from 1 species
UCGGAUCGUUUUAGAAACAUCAGUGGCCAACAGAUCGCCAGAUCGUUGAGCUGCAUUGGCGGGAUUUCGCCGUCUUCGUUUCUCUUUCUUCGCGGACGAACACGCGCUGGGCCUGCAACGGCAGGAUCCAGGGUCCUUAACGGGAUGUGCGUUAGGGGCUUGUAGCUCAGUUGGUUAGAGCGCGCGCUUGAUAAGCGUGAGGUCGGAAGUUCAAGUCUUCCCAGGCCCACCACUUUCAUCGAGUGAGCAUUCGUCUUCUGGUUACGGGGCCAUAGCUCAGCUGGGAGAGCGCGUGCUUUGCAAGCAUGAGGUCGUCGGUUCGAUCCCGUCUGGCUCCACCAGAUGGUUUGAUCACCGAGAUCUUGACCGUCGUCCGCGAAACAUCACUUCGCAUCCUGCUAGUCUGGAUAGACAGCAGUUUGCGUGUUUUCUGACAUCGUAAAGAGGAGAUCGAUCCGAGUUGGGUCGUGCAGCAUAUCGUUGCGCGAGCCUUCAUUAUCUCCGGAUCAUUUCGGCGCUCGCUUCCAGCCGUGAGGUUGGAUGCGGGUUGUAAAUGAUCCUUUUAGCGAAGCUUGACCGCCUCGCUAUCGGAACGAUCUUACGAAGCAAGCUGGUCUUUCUAGUCAAUGUCCGGCUGCAGAUAGCGUUCAUCGAGGGCGCGUGCCGCAAGGCAAUUCUGCAGACAACAUUCUGCCGAGUGUGUGGACAUUGAUAAUGAGAGCAAUCAAGUGCCUUAAGGGUGUUCGGUGGAUGCCUUGGCGCUGAGAGGCGAUGAAGGACGUGCUACGCUGCGAUAAGCCGUGGGGAGCUGCGAAGAAGCUUUGAUCCGCGGAUUUCCGAU